CCACCCCGGGCACUUCAGGGCCCAGCGCUCCAGCUGGCAGUGCAGCUUGUGCAGCAUCGACGGCCUGCAGCUCAGCACAGAGCGCACCUGGGCAGGAGGGAUGGUCGCCAGCAGAUCUAGGCCUUGCCGUGGAGAAGAUGAUUCGGGAGAUCAGGAUGUCCCUGUCUGAAGGAUCUCCCUCUGCUCAGGACAAUGUCAGUGUUGCCCCCGAUUCCUCAGGAGGGGAGCCUGUGGACAGAGCUGCAGCAGAGGAAGCUUCAUCUGGCACCGAGAGCUGCAGGAACGGUUCCCAGGAGCCCGAGGAGCCUGAUGCCAUCUGACCAACAUCUCCAGGAGGGCUGCCCUGCCUGGCAGGAGGAGACAGAGGAGAGCCCGUGACCAUCGGGCAGGUAGAAUUCCUCUGUUUGUAAAUAUGUUUAUAGAUUCCUAUGGUUUUAUUUAUCAAAGGGUAUAGUUCUAUUUACAGAUUAGAGUGUUCUUUUUAUAUAAGCAUAUAUUGAUAGAUCUGUAGAGUUAAAUGGGGAUAUGUAUUCAGUUAGCGAAGUGAUAGAUUUUAUUAUAAAUUUACACUUACAGAUUUUCAGAGUUUAAUUUUUUUUUUGUGUAGAGUCCAGAAAAAAUAUAUAGAUGAAGUUAUAUUUAUAAAUGCGUACAGUUGCAUAGUAAGAGGAAUAUGAGUGUUUAGAUGUAUAGAUUGAUGGAUAGAUUGCUGUUUGUGUAGGCCUAGGCUGCAUUUUUAGCUCUUUGCCCCCUCGGCUGCCUUUCUCACCUCUUGCUUUUCCCCCUGUGCCCCCUGUGUCCCCUCUCCCUGUGCUGGGUCCGAGCUGGCGGCCAGCCAGCCGGAGCAGCACUUCCAGCCCCGGCUGUCCCUGGAGCGGUGGGAGCUGCCGCUGGCCCCAGGCACUGUCCCCUGAGGAGCUGCUGAAGGACGCUGCAAGGAAGACCUCGAAGACAGCCGGAGACUGAUGGGAGCCAGCAGGGAGAAUCUGAAGGGCAGCAGCAGGAGCAGGGAACGGGGACCUGCUGCUGCCAGCCUGGAGAGAGAUCGGAUGUCCCAUCUGCUGUCCCUGUCCAGGAGAGCUGCUCUGCACGGGAGGAGUAGACCGAGGGAGAGAGGCUUUGAAGAUGAGGCAGCUGGGAUCCUUCUCCUUCAUCUGCUGUUUGAAGAUAUACAGACUUGCAUGCAGUCAUUGAUAUUUACAUCGAUAUUUUCAUAUGUAGCUUGCUAUUUGUAUGGUAUAUUUCUAUACGUAUGUUGUUAUAUUUAUUAAUGUACUCUGUAUAUAUGUACGUAUAUGUAUAUAUGUACGUAUAGAUAUAUACAUACAGGUUUGCAGUUACGUGUUUGUGUAAUUAUGUAUCUAGUUUUUUAUGUACGUUGUAAUAUCUGUGUUCAGUUAUUUUUCCGUAUGCGUUCAGUUUUGUAGGUGUUUAUAUUUUUUUUGAUGUAGUUUUCAGUAUAUGUCUUUUUAAAUUAGUGUAUUGGUAUUUCUAUUAGUAGAUACGCCUAUUUUUAUAUUUUUUAUGUAUAUUGACCUAUUUCUAUUAAAUGUUACGCAUGUCUCCAGAUGUAUAGCUGUAUAUUUUUAUGGAUGCAGUUGGAUUGCUGUUUAGAUUGCUACAGCAAUAUUUGUAUAUUUUUAGAUAGUUGUAUAUUUUUAGAUAAUAUCUAUUUUUAUAUAUAUUGUAUAUAAACUUUAAUAUUUAAUCUAUUUACAUCUGUAUAUUUUUAUAGUUAUAUAUGUAUUUUUAAUAUGUGCAUAUAUGUAUGUAUUUAAUUAUUUUUAAAGAUGUAUAGAGGGUAUAGUUGCUUAACUCUAUCUAGUGAAUUCUUAGUUUAAGGCUAUUUUGAGAUAGAAUGCUUCUUUUUGUAUUUCUAUAAGGGGUCUACGUUUGUAGUAAUAUGUAAUAAAUUAAGUUGUUAAACGCCUAAUUGAUCUUUGUGUAUAGUGAGUUGUGUAUAGUAGAGGCUAGCAAUAAAUCAAGUUUGGUUAAGUGAACUUGGUAUUUGUAUAUUUUUACAUAGACUGGUUGUAAUAAUCUAAUAAAUUGCUGGGUUUACCUUAAAUUGAGAUCUGUUGAGUUCUGUAUUGUCAGCAUGGGUGUAGCAGUUUGUAAUAAAUGACAUUUUUCAGCUAAAA